UUCUCCGUUUUUUUUUUGCCUUUUGCUGGUUUUGGUUGCCAUACGUGGUGAUUUCAAAUAACAGAGGCUCGACUCCAAUGUAGCAUAGUGGUGGUGGUGGUGACAAGCGGAGGGAGGAGAGACAGACAGAGAAACAGAAGAAAAGGAUAUUGAAAUACUCAGUGGGAAGAAUGUCCUUCCCCGCUGGACUUUGAUUAUCAGAAAAUGCUGUGUGCGAAGGGUGGUAUCGCUGCCGACGGCUCCGUGACCCAACCGAGGAAGCCAAGAGAAAAGAUCGAGAACGUCGCCGCAGCUGCAGCAGACAACGUCGAAGCGAGCCCGAGCACGGCGCUACCCGGAACAUCAGCUACAAUGGCAGGAACAGUGGAGGACAAGAUCUGUGCAUCCACCUGCUAGACCCCCAGGAGUCAGAGCAGGAGCAGCAGCCGAGCGAGGCCCCUGGCCCGGGCCCAGGAGCUAAAAGCACCCGCCAGCCCCUCUGCCACGCGGCUGCAGCCGCCAGCUCCGCCCCGCCACACUCGCGUCCCGGGAAGGGGAGAGGCGAAGAGCCGUCCCAGCCUCCGCUCCGCUCACGCAGGGGCGGAAGGGGCGGGACCCGCCGCCCGAGG